rnacentral:rRNA from 1 species
CAAUAGCGUAUAUUAAAGUUGUUGCGGUAAAAAAGCUCGUAGUUGGAUUUCUACCGAAGAUAGCCGGUCGGGUCUUCGACCUUGCAUCUGGUUUUGUCUUUGGUAUCCUCAUAGGGAACGUUUCUGCGCUUUAUUGCGUGGUGCGGUAUCUAUGACUUUUACUUUGAGGAAAUUAGAGUGUUCACGGCAGGCAAACGCCUUGAAUAUAUUAGCAUGGAAUAAUAACAUAGGAUCUUCGUCCUAUUUUGUUGGUUUCUAGGGCUAAGAUAAUGAUUAAUAGGGAUAAUUGGGGGCAUCUGUAUCAACGCGUCAGAGGUGGAAUUCUUGGAUUGCGUUGCGACAAACUACUGCGAAAGCAUUUGCCAAGGAUGUUUUCAUUGA